CCUACGGGCGGCAGCAGUGAGGAAUAUUGGUCAAUGGGCGCGAGCCUGAACCAGCCAAGUAGCGUGAAGGAUGACUGCCCUACGGGUUGUAAACUUCUUUUAUAAAGGAAUAAAGUGAGGCACGUGUGCCUUUUUGUAUGUACUUUAUGAAUAAGGAUCGGCUAACUCCGUGCCAGCAGCCGCGGUAAUACGGAGGAUCCGAGCGUUAUCCGGAUUUAUUGGGUUUAAAGGGGGCGUAGAUGGGUUGUUAAGUCAGUUGUGAAAGGUUGCGGCUCAACCGGAAAAUUGCAAUUGAUACUGGCAGUCUUGAGUACAGGUGAGGUAGGCGGAAUGCGUGGUGUAGCGGUGAAAUGCUUAGAUAUUACGAAGAACCCCGAUGGCGAAGGCAGCUUACUAAACUGUGACUGACAUUGAUGCUCGAAAGUGUGGGUAUCAAACAGGAUUAGAUACCCUAGUAGUC
rnacentral:rRNA from 1 species